rnacentral:sRNA from 1 species
GUUGGGUGUGGUGGUGCACACCUGUAGUUCCAGCUACCCAGGAGGCUAGGGCUGGAGGGUUUGAGCGUAGCCUGGGCAACACAGAUCCUGUCUCAAAAAACAGACUCACCCUUU